rnacentral:rRNA from 1 species
AAUGAACGUUGGCGGCGUGGAUUAGGCAUGCAAGUCGUACGGGCCGCAAGGCCAGUGGCGCAAGGGUGAGUAAGGCGACGGUAACCAACCCCAUGACUGGGUAUAGCCGCGGGAAACCGCGGGUAAUCCCCAGCGACGUCCGGGGGGGGCAUCCCCCCGGGACCAAAGCUCCGGCGUCGAGGGACGGGCCGUCGUGGUAUUAGCUGGUUGGCGGGGUAACGGCCCACCAAGGCUGCGAUGCCUACCGGGCGUGCGAGCGUGGCCCGGCACACUGGGACUGAGACACUGCCCAGACUCCUACGGGAGGCUGCAGUCGAGAAUCUUCGGCAAUGGGCGCAAGCCUGACCGAGCGACGCCGCGUGGAGGACGAAGGCCUUCGGGUUGUAAACUCCUGUCGAGGGGGAAGAAGGCCCCGAAAGGGGCUUGACUGAUCCCUGGAGGAAGCACGGGCUAAGUUCGUGCCAGCAGCCGCAGUAAGAC